rnacentral:rRNA from 1 species
UACGGGGGGGGCAAGCGUUGUUCGGAAUUACUGGGCGUAAAGGGCUCGUAGGCGGCCAACUAAGUCAGACGUGAAAUCCCUCGGCUUAACCGGGGAACUGCGUCUGAUACUGGAUGGCUUGAGUCCGGGAGAGGGAUGCAGAAUUCCAGGUGUAGCGGUGAAAUGCGUAGAUAUCUGGAGGAAUACCGGUGGCGAAGGCGGCAUCCUGGACCGGCAUUGACGCUGAUGAGCGAAAGCUAGGGGAGCAAACGGG